GACGAACGCUGGCGGCGUGCCUAAUACAUGCAAGUCGAGCGGGGAUUAUGCUUGAUCGCUUCGGUGAGACGGCAUAUAUCCUAGCGGCGGACGGGUGAGUAACGCGUGGGUAAUCUACCUCGUAGUUCGGGAUAACAGGCCGAAAGGCUUGCUAAUACCGGAUGAGUUCAUGCUUAUGCAUAUAGGCAUGAAGAAAGGGCUAGCCCGCUAUGAGAUGAGCCCGCGUCCCAUUAGCUUGUUGGUGGGGUAAUGGCCUACCAAGGCAACGAUGGGUAGCCGGCCUGAGAGGGUGUACGGCCACACUGGGACUGAGACACGGCCCAGACUCCUACGGGGGGCAGCAGUAGGGAAUUUUCGGCAAUGGGCGAAAGCCUGACCGAGCGACGCCGCGUGAGGGACGAAGGCCUUCGGUUGUAACCUCUGUCUGGGGGAUGAGAACGGACGGUACCCCGGAGGAAGCCCGGCUAACUACGUG
rnacentral:rRNA from 1 species